rnacentral:rRNA from 1 species
GAUGAACGCUGGCGGCGUGCUUAACACAUGCAAGUCGAACGUGAGAGGGUAGCAAUAUCCUUAAAAGUGGCGCACGGGUGAGUAAUACGUAGGUGACCUGCCCUGGAGUGGGGGAUAACAGCUGGAAACGGUUGCUAAUACCGCAUAAGACCGGAUGCUUGGGAAAGCGACUGGUAAAAACUCUGGUGCUUCAGGAGGGGCCUACGGCCGAUUAGCUAGUUGGCGGGGUAAGAGCCCACCAAGGCGACGAUCGGUAGCUGGUCUGAGAGGACGAUCAGCCACACGGGAACUGAGACACGGUCCCGACUCCUACGGGGGGCAGCAGUGAGGAAUAUUGGGCAAUGGGCGGAAGCCUGACCCAGCAACGCCGCGUGGGGGAAGACGGCCUUCGGGUUGUAAACUCCUUUUACGGGGGAAGAGGAAGGACGGUACCCCGAGAAUAAGUCACGGCUAACUACGUGCCAGCCGCCGCCGUAACAC